CUGUUUCAGGGCUUCUCUAGGUGAUCCAGCUACAUCUGUUAAAAUUUCCCACCGCAAAGGCUUCCGUGGUAUUAACCCUAGAGUUGAAGGUAAAAACUCAUGAAAGACUUAAGAGAUCUGAGUAGGUCACCUCAGAUAACAUGAUUGAAUUGCAAGAUGGCUGCGUGCCCACGGUGCCAGCACCAGGAGCUUGGAGAAGAGAGCGAAAGGAAGAACUCGAAAGAAAACUUACCUGGAAGAUCAAACAGCCCAAGGUCUGGCCUUAAAUGUACUGAGGUAUCCUAUGAGAAGUCCUUCUUCGAGCAUUCCGUUUUCUUCUGCAAAGCUGUUUAUGCCUGUGGGAUUGGACAUGAUGAACGAUUGACCUCCAGGGGUUCAAGUGGUCAGUGUGAACUUAGAGUACUCUGACGUGUCCAAGACAGAUGUUUGUCCUCAGACAACCAGCCUGUGCAGAGAGAUGUCGCAGAGAGUCGUAGACAAAGCCAGCUUGGAGAUCUCAGAAGCAGAUAUUUCUUCCUUGCCAGUCUCCAAGAGUUACCAAGUGCCAAGAUACAAAAUAAAGGAUUUACUCAGGAGUCUGGUGUUGGAGAGACAACAAAUGA